rnacentral:tRNA from 1 species
GCCGCCUUAGCUCUGUCGGUAGAGCAGUCCCUUUCCUCCUACUGGGACCGGCGCGGGUUCGACUCCCGCAGGUGGCU